CGGCAAAAUCGUUUUGAAACCCCGAUUCCCAUACGAUCAGCGAAGUUAAGCAACGUCGAUCAUGGUCUGUACUUAGAUGGGUGACCGUUUGGGGAUAUCAGACGUUGUAA